UAGCUGUGUUGGUAAGGAAUGAUAUAAGACAAUAACAAGAACGUAGAGUAAGAACGUUGUAAAGAAGAUGAAGAAUAAAAAACUAGUGAGUCACUUUAUAUGCAGAGUAUAAAUGUUAGUGCAGAAAACAAAUGUAUUUGGGGAAAUACAGAAUAACGUUGUGACAGAGAGAAACAGUUACCUGUUGAA